rnacentral:misc_RNA from 1 species
AAAACAGGGAGAACAAAAACGAAGGUAAUCCCCUUUUCCUUUCCAUUCUUCAAUUUCUAGUUCAUUAUUCUCUCUCUUCGUUUGCCUUUUGGUAAAUCUCCUUCUCAGUUCAGGCUUCUUUCUAAGAAUUUUCGUUUUCGGAUUUUGUUUCAGUGGAUGAUGAUGGAAGCUCUCUAAUACAUUUAUUUUAGUCUUUUUACUUUUUCUGGAAUUUCAACGAACAUAUAUAUGUAUAUUUUCAUUCUCUUUUAAGUGAUGGCAAUAUCCUUUUAAGCUUUUAAUCCUUAA